GGGGCUGUAGCUCAGUGGUAGAGUGCUUUCCUAGCAUGAGUGAGACACUGGGUUUGAUACUCAGCACCACA
rnacentral:tRNA from 1 species